rnacentral:piRNA from 1 species
UGGAUGAUAACAAAUGGGGGGUUU